GAACGCUGGCGGCGUGCCUAACACAUGCAAGUCGAACGGAGAUCGUUGGACAGAGGCUUCGGCCAAAGGAAGUUGAUCUAGUGGCGGACGGGUGAGUAACGCGUGGGGAACCUGCCCCAUACCGGGGGAUAACAGAUAGAAAUGUCUGCUAAUACCGCAUAAGCGCACGAGGUCGCAUGACCCUGUGUGAAAAACUCCGGUGGUAUGGGAUGGACCCGCGUUGGAUUAGCCAGUUGGCGGGGUAACGGCCCACCAAAGCGACGAUCCAUAGCCGGCCUGAGAGGGUGAACGGCCACAUUGGGACUGAGACACGGCCCAGACUCCUACGGGAGGCAGCAGUGGGGAAUAUUGCACAAUGGGGGGAACCCUGAUGCAGCGACGCCGCGUGAAGGAAGAAGUAUCUCGGUAUGUAAACUUCUAUCAGCAGGGAAGAAAAUGACGGUACCUGACUAAGAAGCCCCGGCUAACUACGUGCCAGCCGCUGC
rnacentral:rRNA from 1 species